rnacentral:rRNA from 1 species
UAAAUCGCAAGAUGAUGUAUAUGGGGUGACACCUGCCCAGUGCUGGAAGGUUAAAGAAGGGUGUUAGAGCAAUCAAAGCUCCCGACUGAAGCCCCAGUGAACGGCGGCCGUAACUAUAACGGUCCUAAGGUAGCGAAAUUCCUUGUCGGGUAAAUUCCGUCCCGCUUGAAUGGUGUAACCAUCUCUUGACUGUCUCGGCUAUAGACUCGGUGAAAUCCAGGUACGGGUGAAGACACCCGUUAGGCGCAACGGGACGGAGAGACCCCAUGAAGCUUUACUGUAACUUAAUAUUGGGCAGAGUUUAGACAUAUAGAGAAUAGGUGGGAGACUUUGAAGCAACUUCGCUAGGAGUUGUGGAGUCACCAGUGGAAUACCACCUUUGUUUAAAUUCUUCUCUAACUAGUUGCUGUUAUCCAGCAAUAGGACAGUGUUAGGCGGGCAGUUUGACUGGGGCGGUCGCCUCCCAAAAGGUAACGGAGGCGUGCAAAGGUACCCUCAGCACGGUUGGAAAUCGUGUUAAGAGUGUAAUGGUAUAAGGGUGCUUGACUGUGAGACUAACAGGUCGAACAGGUAAGAAAUUAGGUCAUAGUGAUCCGGUGGUUCAGUAUGGAAUGGCCAUCGCUCAACGGAUAAAAGCUACUCUGGGGAUAACAGGCUGAUACUGCCCAAGAGUUCACAUCGACGGCAGUGUUUGGCACCUCGAUGUCGACUCAUCUCAUCCUCGAGCUGAAGCAGGUUCGAAGGGUUCGGCUGUUCGCCGAUUAAAGAGAUACGUGAGUUGGGUUCAAACCGUCGCGAGACAGGUUGGUCCCUAUCUAUUGUGCCCGCAGGAAGAUU